rnacentral:rRNA from 1 species
AUGGGCACAGAAUUUUAUGAGACCAUGCUCAUCAUCAAAGGAGCCCGAGCUGAGACUGAGGAUGAUCUGAGCCAGUUGUUUGAAGACUUUGGAAUCAAUGGAAGCCAACUUGCAGCUUCAUUCGGUCCUCCUACUUUUGUGAUGGACUCCAACUUGACUAGCGACGCGGCGCCAGUCCCAUCGCCGUUGAGGGUGGGGCCCUCCGCCGCCUUGACGGUAGACUUGAUAGUUCCGACUUUGGAACUGGUGGAUGAAGCUGUUCUUGCAGCUCCACUCAGUCCUUCUGCUUAUAUGAUCGAGAAAAACUUGACUCACGACGAGGAUCCAGCUGCCACGCUGCCGGAGAGCGUCCGGAGGUGCAAGAGAGGCCCCCGCAAGCGAAGAAUACCAUUAUGCACAGACCAGGGCUGGUUUUUGGGUGACCACUUUGGGGGCACAUCCUGCCUCCGGGAUGCACCUUCUUCAAGUGAAGGCCGAAACCGUGGACUCAGAACAAACGGGCCCCAUUGGACAACGGAAGAGGUGACUGCACUAGUUGAUGGUCUUGAAGAAUUUGGUGGUCGACGAUGGUCUGCGAUAAAGAAGAAAUAUUUUCCAAAGCCAGAUCGAACAGAUCAGACAGAUCGAACUACGGAGAAUCUUAAGGAUAAGUGGAGAAAUCUGCGGAAAUCAUACACGGGAAGUGCAGAAAGAAGAUACUAUCUAGUUCUUCCUGAUCAUUUGAUCCAACGACUCAAGAGGCUAGCAGCGACUGGUAACUGA